rnacentral:rRNA from 1 species
AUUGAACGCUGGCGGCAGGCCUAACACAUGCAAGUCGAGCGGCAGCGGGAAAGUAGCUUGCUACUUUUGCCGGCGAGCGGCGGACGGGUGAGUAAUGCCUGGGAAAUUGCCCAGUCGAGGGGGAUAACAGUUGGAAACGACUGCUGAUACCGCAUACGCCCUACGGGGGAAAGCAGGGGACCUUCGGGCCUUGCGUGAUUGGAUAUGCCCAGGUGGGAUUAGCUAGUUGGUGAGGUAAUGGCUCACCAAGGCGACGAUCCCUAGCUGGUCUGCGAGGAUGAUCAGCCACACUGGAACUGAGACACGGUCCAGACUCCUACGGGAGGCAGCAGUGGGGAAUAUUGCACAAUGGGGGAAACCCUGAUGCAGCCAUGCCGCGUGUGUGAAGAAGGCCUUCGGGUUGUAAAGCACUUUCAGCGAGGAGGAAAGGUCAGUAGCUAAUAUCUGCUGACUGUGACGUUACUCGCAGAAGAAGCACCGGCUAACUCCGUGCCAGCCGCCGCGGUAACAC